UUGCAAGAAGAAGUUGGUUAAGAAGACUGACGAUUAUGAGAAUGAAGGACACAAACUUUUGAAUUAGACCAAUUGUUUGAUCGACCAUUCUUGUUCUCUUGAAAACGAUAUAUGGUCAAUUUUAGUAUUCUGAUGUGAUUGAAGAAUAUAGGAGGGACAAAGAGAUGUGCUAUUGCCAGGACAGUUAUGACUCUCUAUUAAGGUAUUCAGGUAUGAUUCUCCAUGAUCAUGCUUCUCCUGUUCACCUGGAAGUUUAUUGAUGGGAGGGAAGCCACUUCUGCUUUGAUGAUUUCUUGGAAGUUCAGCUAGGUGAAUUUACAAUACAAGUCAGAUUAUUUGCGAGAGAAUUUCAUUCCCUAGAAUCAUUGUCAUUCUUGUUGCCUACAAGGUACUUGAAGAAAAUGCCCGAGACAUAUUUUAAGGAGUAUAAUUCAGCACUAAGGCUAUUAUUACAACGAUGGAAUCUUUGUUGUGGUAGUUAUGUCUCCAAAUGCGUCGAUCCCUAUCGGCUACUGAAGUAAACUUAUUUAUUUUUUCUGUGUCGAUUUCUAUUGGCUUACUGAUAGGUUAUUUAUUCUUUUCGAAUUUUAAUUCCUUGAUCUUUGCCUCUGCCCAUCUCCAUAUCACACAGAAGGUGCUCAGUGCAAUGCAUCAUGCAGUGAUUCCAUGAUAGGAAUUAGGAACUGCUCAUCAUUUGAAUGUUUCUACAAUUUUCCUGCUUGUUAGAACAUGUUUGAUGUACUUACACAUUAACAAAAAUGACCUGUAACAUUCAUGAAAAUAUUUGGGUUUGGUCAUCUA